GGCGGAAUGAAAAGGGAGGGGAGAGCAGAGGAAGGGAAAGUCAGCUUUGUAGGUUUUUAAUUGCCUGUUUGUUUUCUCCGUCAAUUACAGGCAAAUUAAUAUCUAAACUUUGGGAGGCUGUGAGGAAGUGCUUACAGAAUAGAUUUCAGAGCCCAGGAUGUGAGGCCUUCUGCUUUCCACCAUCCCAGGGUUGAAAUUUCAUGUUUUUUCAAAGACCAUUGCAAAUGCUCUGUGUUCCUCACUGAACUGCACGGGAUUGUUUUCUUUCUUUGAAAUCAGCCCUUCGUGACUCCUCCCUGACCGGGUCCCACAUGGGCACUGCCAAACGGGAUGCAGUUUCCCAGGAAACGAUGUACCUGCCCCCAGGUGGACCUCCCCUGGGAGUAAACAGCCAUGUUGGUAACAACCACUGAACCCAACAGCGGGCUGACUUCAUCGCCGUCCUCUGGUCUUUUUGACAGUCUGGAUUCCAGUUUCAACCCUGUCCCAAACGGUGAGUUCCUGGAUAAACACCAUGGUGUUUGGUGAUACUGAUACUAUUCUAAGGAACUAAAGAUGUUUAACAUCACUGCUGAAAUUCAAAUUGCCAGUUACUCAACCGCCG
rnacentral:lncRNA from 1 species